rnacentral:misc_RNA from 1 species
AAGUCGUAACAAGGUUUCCGUAGGUGAACCUGCGGAAGGAUCAUUAUUGAAUCUUUGAAAGGAGCUGUUUGCUGGCCUUCAUCUGAGGGCAUGUGCACGCUCCGUUCAAAUCCAAACCCUCAUACACCUGUGCACCUUUUGUAGGCUCAGUCGAAAGGCUGUUUCUAUGUUCAUUUAUAAACUCAAUAGUAUGUGUAGAAUGUCAACGCGUGUAACGCAUCUUUAUACAACUUUCAGCAACGGAUCUCUUGGCUCUC